rnacentral:rRNA from 1 species
CGCGUAGGUGGUUUGUUAAGUUGGAUGUGAAAGCCCCGGGCUCAACCUGGGAACUGCAUCCAAAACUGGCAAGCUAGAGUACGGUAGAGGGUGGUGGAAUUUCCUGUGUAGCGGUGAAAUGCGUAGAUACAGGAAGGAACACCAGUGGCGAAGGCGACCACCUGGACUGAUACUGACACUGAGGUGCGAAAGCGUGGGGAGCAAACA